AAGUGUGAAGGUGGGAAAACAAGUCCUUCACAGGCGAUCUCAAGCUGCCAUGAGUCUGCUCUGACCCUGUCCGUGUGAAAACAUGACCAGCGGGACACUGGCGCACAGCCCGGCUGCCCUGAGGGGAGGAGGAAGGCUGAGGGGCACUGAGGGGAGGCGGGCGCCAUGUUGGGUGCCUGAGGGUCCGUGAGGGGACAGCCGGCCAUGGCCGCUCCAGGUUCUGCACAACCUCAGAUUUGUGCUGAUGUUUUUACUUCAGAGCUGAUCCUAAUGUCUUUCUUUUGAAGCAUUUUAAUAUCAGAAGUGUUCGAAUGGCAGACCGAGAAAAGCUGGUACACAGGGAGCCUUGGUACAACUGCUGGCCCACUCUUCAGGCAACUGCUAAUUACAAAAGAAUUCCAUAGGAAGGACUUCCAGGAGAGGACGAGGGUGUCUCAUCUGUGCCAGGCACUCGGCAGGAGCAUGUGAGGAGUGAACUCUGGCCUGCUCAGUCUAUUUAGCAAGCUCUGAGAUGUCUUACAACAUCCCACUGGGAUCUCCAGAGCCCACUUCACUCCUCAGGAAGUGCAGGCAAAGGCGGGUAUGGACUUCCAAUGGGAAUCUGAACUGAGGUGGCCACAGAGCAACUGCUCCUUCCAUAUCACACCAGGAGUGCCUUUAUCCCACCAACCAACCCUGCUGACAGCCCAGGGAGGAGGGGAAAGGGGCAGCACAUUUCAUGCUGCAGCCCCCCGGAUUUUCUGCUAUCCCAUUUGAGCACUCCAGGAAAAUUUUGCUGCAUCACAAGCUGGAAGCACCAAGGAGUUCAGAGAAGUUCUGCUGAAGACCAGGACUGUUGGUUGCCUUCUGCCCAAUUAAUCCAGGAAUCAGUUCCAGGUGAGUAAGGCCUUGUAUCCAUGCACAGCCACUGUUGAUUUGAGUGGGAUUCCUCAGCUGUGCCAGUCUCCACCACAUAAUUUCAGUUGCAAGAUGAGGCUCCCCAGGAAAAGUGUCAUAGAGUCAGAGAACUGUUUAGAUUGAAAAGACCUUCAAGACCAUCGAGACCAACCAUUCCCCCAGCACUGCCAAGGCCACCACUAACCCAUGUCCCCAAGUGCCACAUCCACAUGGCUUUUAAAUCCCUCCAGGGAUGCGAUCUCUGCCACUGCCCUGGGCAGCUCUGUCAGGGCUGGACAGCCCUUUCCAGGAAGACAUUUUCCCUAAUAUCCAAUCUAAGCGUCCCCUGGUGCAGCUUGAGGCUGUUUCUUCUUUAGCAAGCAUGAUCUUAAGUGAACCUCCAACAGUAAUUUAUCCCUGCUCUCAGUUACCCUUGAAAGCUCAGAGCACCCUGAUGUCUUACAAGGGUAUUUGUGUGAUUUUAAAGCCCAGAAUUUACUUGUGGGUAAAUAUGAUACGAUAAUAAAAAAACCAGUAUCCCAACACUGUA